CCUACGGGAGGCAGCAGUGAGGAAUAUUGGUCAAUGGACGCGAGUCUGAACCAGCCAAGUAGCGUGCAGGAUGACUGCCCUAUGGGUUGUAAACUUCUUUUAUAUGGGAAUAAAACAGGGUAUGCAUACCCUCUUGUAUGUACCAUAUGAAUAAGGAUCGGCUAACUCCGUGCCAGCAGCCGCGGUAAUACGGAGGAUCCGAGCGUUAUCCGGAUUUAUUGGGUUUAAAGGGAGCGUAGGUGGAUUGUUAAGUCAGUUGUGAAAGUUUGCGGCUCAACCGUAAAAUUGCAGUUGAAACUGGCAGUCUUGAGUACAGUAGAGGUGGGCGGAAUUCGUGGUGUAGCGGUGAAAUGCUUAGAUAUCACGAAGAACUCCGAUUGCGAAGGCAGCUCACUGGACUGCAACUGACACUGAUGCUCGAAAGUGUGGGUAGCAAACAGGAUUAGAUACCCGAGUAGUC
rnacentral:rRNA from 1 species